rnacentral:rRNA from 1 species
UGCUUUGCUGACGAGUGGCGGACGGGUGAGUAAUGUCUGGGAAACUGCCUGAUGGAGGGGGAUAACUACUGGAAACGGUGGCUAAUACCGCAUAACGUCGCAAGACCAAAGGGGGGGACCUUCGGGCCUCUUGCCAUCAGAUGUGCCCAGAUGGGAUUAGCUUGUUGGUGAGGUAACGGCUCACCAGGGCGACUAUCCCUAGCUGGUCUGAGAGGAUGACCAGCCACACUGGAACUGAGACACGGUCCACACUCCUACGGGAGGCAGCAGUGGGGAAUAUUGCACAGUGGGCGCAAGCCUGAUGCACCCAUGCCGCGUGUAUGAAGAAGGCCUUCGGGUUGUAAAGUACUUUCAGCGGGGAGGAAGGUGUUGUGGUUAAUAACCGCAGCAUUUGACUUUCCCCGCAAAAGAAGCACCGGCUAACUCCGUGCCAGCACCCGCGGUAAUACGGAGGGUGCAAGCGUUAAUCGGAAUUACUGGGCGUAAAGCGCACGCAGGCGGUCUGUCAAGUCAGAUGUGAAAUCCCCGGGCUCAACCUGGGAACUGCUUUCAAAACUGGCAGGUUUGAGUCUUGUAGAGGGGGGUAGAAUUCCGGGUGUAGCGGUGAA